GGGGAAUAUUGCACAAUGGGGGAAACCCUGAUGCAGCGACGCCGCGUGGAGGAAGAAGGUCUUCGGAUUGUAAACUCCUGUUGUUGAGGAAGAUAAUGACGGUACUCAACAAGGAAGUGACGGCUAACUACGUGCCAGCAGCCGCGGUAAAACGUAGGUCACAAGCGUUGUCCGGAAUUACUGGGUGUAAAGGGAGCGCAGGCGGGAAGACAAGUUGGAAGUGAAAUCUAUGGGCUCAACCCAUAAACUGCUUUCAAAACUGUUUUUCUUGAGUAGUGCAGAGGUAGGCGGAAUUCCCGGUGUAGCGGUGGAAUGCGUAGAUAUCGGGAGGAACACCAGUGGCGAAGGCGGCCUACUGGGCACCAACUGACGCUGAGGCUCGAAAGUGUGGGUAGCAAACAGGAUUAGAUACCCUGGUAGUCCACACCGUAAACGAUGAUUACUAGGUGUUGGAGGAUUGACCCCUUCAGUGCCGCAGUUAACACAAUAAGUAAUCCACCUGGGGAGUACGACCGCAAGGUUGAAACUCAAAGGAAUUGACGGGGGCCCGCACAAGCAGUGGAGUAUGUGGUUUAAUUCGACGCAACGCGAAGAACCUUACCAAGUCUUGACAUCCUGCGACGCACAUAGAAAUAUGUGUUUCCUUCGGGACGCAGAGACAGGUGGUGCAUGGUUGUCGUCAGCUCGUGUCGUGAGAUGUUGGGUUAAGUCCCGCAACGAGCGCAACCCUUACUGUCAGUUACUACGCAAGAGGACUCUGGCAGGACUGCCGUUGACAAAACGGAGGAAGGUGGGGAUGACGUCAAAUCAUCAUGCCCUUUAUGACUUGGGCUACACACGUACUACAAUGGCGUUAAACAAAGAGAAGCAAGACCGCGAGGUGGAGCAAAACUCAGAAACAACGUCCCAGUUCGGACUGCAGGCUGCAACUCGCCUGCACGAAGUCGGAAUUGCUAGUAAUCGUGGAUCAGCAUGCCACGGUGAAUACGUUCCCG
rnacentral:rRNA from 1 species